rnacentral:rRNA from 1 species
UUUUAAGAGAGUUUGAUCCUGGCUCAGGAUGAACGCUGGCGGUAUGCUUUACACAUGCAAGUCGGACGGGAGUUUUGAACUCCAGUGGCGGACGGGUGAGUAACACGUAAGAAUUUGCCUUUAGGAGGGGGAUAAC